UAGGGAAUCUUCCACAAUGGGCGCAAGCCUGAUGGAGCAACACCGCGUGAGUGAAGAAGGGUUUCGGCUCGUAAAGCUCUGUUGUUGGAGAAGAACGUGCGUGAGAGUAACUGUUCACGCAGUGACGGUAUCCAACCAGAAAGUCACGGCUAACUGCGUGCCAG
rnacentral:rRNA from 1 species